AAAAACUAUUUUUAACAUAGAAUUCUUCAUUCUCAAGGCUCAAUCGUAACUUUUGAUUAAAGAUGAAGAAAUCCUAACCAUUUUAGAAUCUUCUAUAAAUAUAAUGAUGGUCAUAGUAGUUAUUUUAGCUAAUUAGAUUAUGGUAUUUCCUUUUCUUUCGUGAUUUCAAAAUUUUGAACGUUUUUGUCUUGUAAGGAAAGUAGGCUAACGGUACAUUUAUAUACAUGGUAAUAAACCGACCAGCCCAACCUUGACCUAAAUAUAUAUAUAUUCUCAUUUCCAACUCCUUUCCUAGUAUCUAAGUAUUCCCUCUCCAUAGCUAUAAGUCUCCAAAGAGUAACGAGGAGAAAAGAAGAAAUCUUGGUUAUUUAGCCAGAACUGUGGAAAAAGUAUUGAUGAAGGAUAGCUAGAAUGCUGUGACAAAGAUAUGGCGGACGAAUGAAUGAAUGAAGAAGGUGCAAAACUUGGAUGUGCCUGGCUCCCUGUAUGCCACACACUUUCACCAAUCCGCGAGUUCUUUGAUUGGCUGAUCAGUGGGUGGCGUGCGAGGAGCCAAGCAUACCACAUUAUAUUCUUAAUCCAUCUUUCACCCUUAUUCCUCCUCCGGUAAUUAUCAUUCAAUGGCAUAGGCAGGAUUUUACGGAAGCGGUGUCAGGCGCAAUUUGUCAAUCGGGUUUGGAUCAAGGAGUAUGAUGGGUUUAGAGUUUUAUUUCAUGCUCCGAAUUAUCAUUUCCUUCUGGUGCAUGCAUUGCUUUGUCUACAAGUUAUAGCCUCUCUCGUGUUGUAUUAUGUACUAUAAACUUGCACGUAAACACGGUACGUUUGACGUAUCAUUGUUUGUAUUGGCACAGAAUAAAACUGAGGAGCUAAGAAUGUUGCCAACACCAACAUCUCUUGUUGAAGCAAUUAUAGCAGCUCUUGCACCCGUUAAUUUUUGGCUUCUAACAUUUCGAGUUUAGAAUUGAUCUCCUCACCUUUUUUCUAUUGAAUUUUCUUCAGUUUAUGCAUGCGUGAACAUGUCAAAACAAUGUAUAGUUCUAUCGUGUAACGAUUUCUAAUGCUUGAUUUUUUA